GCCGGGAUGGCGGAAUCGGUAGACGCAUCCGACUUAAAAUCGGCCGCUGCAAAGCGUACGGGUUCAAGUCCCGUUCUCGGCACCA
rnacentral:tRNA from 1 species